CGACAUGUGUUUCCUCUUCCUUGUGUUAUUUGACCUUGUCUUUCAGCACAUGGACGUACACACCUGACAACAGCAAAUAUUACUUUAGUUUAAACACAGUUCAAUCUAAUGAAGAAUCCAAUGACUCAUUCCAUAGCUCUGCAUCUUAAUGUCUUACCUCCGGACGUGUGACGUCUUCUUCUAACAAAUAAUAUGGCGACUACAACGAUGAUGACUACAACUGCACAGGCGGACCCUGCAGCAAUGUAAAUAACAGUCCUGCUUCCCGAGCCUGAAACAGCAGGAGAAUAAUCAUUCCUUGAGUAAGCCGUGUCAAUAUGGCGUGCAUAAUGAAGCGCUCGACUCCACCCACGUCAAGGCAGCGUUUCCUCAAAGUGAUCAGAUAAGUUCAGAUAAUUUCCAUAAAGUAUCACACUUCAGAGCAGCCCAAGAUUGCUGGCUUGUGUCAAAUAAACCUCUCCAACAGCGACGUCGCCUAUUUCACCUGGAUUUGGACCAUGCUUGUCCUGAACAAUCGUCGAAUGGAGCAAUGAGUGCUAUAUAGUGUGACCCUGCUGAUUGGGUCGUGACUUGGAUUGUCACCACUGUCCCCGAGUCCAUUAUUACUGGUCACCAUGACAGGUAGAAUAUCGCUGACUGUGACCGUUUUGCACAUUUGGGUACAAUUAUACAGUGGUUUGCAGCUUACAAAAUUCGCCAUGUAUGACUACAUAUCUUGCACUUUUUCCAAAUAGUUAUUUCUUACACAUAAGUCGACACACCAUGAUGCGACACCAAUUAUGCUCAACACGAGGCAACAUCAAGGCAUUUACCUAUAUCCUAUGUUAAAUAUCAUAAACAACACGAUAUGUAUUCACUAGUUGAUUAGAAUUGUUCGUUUAUGAUCGCCACAAGUCAAUCACACAUUCCAUGCU